rnacentral:tRNA from 2 species
GGGUCGGAAAAGUAGGGUGCCAUCUGUCUUCCAAACAGAUGAUGCGAGUUCGAUUCUCGUCCGCCCCU